rnacentral:rRNA from 1 species
GAUGAACGCUGGCGGUAUGCUUAACACAUGCAAGUCGAACGGUCUCUUAGGAGAUAGUGGCGGACGGGUGAGUAACGCGUGAGAAUCUGGCUUUAGGUCUGGGACAACCACUGGAAACGGUGGCUAAUACCGGAUGUGCCGAAAGGUGAAAGGUUAACUGCCUGGAGAUGAGCUCGCGUCUGAUUAGCUAGUUGGUAGGGUAAGAGCUUACCAAGGCGACGAUCAGUAGCUGGUCUGAGAGGACGAUCAGCCACACUGGGACUGAGACAC